UACAGAGGUCUCAAGCGUUGUUCGGAUUCAUUGGGCGUAAAGGGUGCGUAGGUGGCGCCGUAAGUCAGGUGUGAAAUCUCGGGGCUCAACCCCGAAACUGCACUUGAUACUGCGAUGCUCGAGUACUGGAGAGGAGAUUGGAAUUUACGGUGUAGCAGUGAAAUGCGUAGAUAUCGUAAGGAAGACCAGUGGCGAAGGCGAAUCUCUGGACAGUUACUGACACUGAGGCACGAAGGCCAGGGGAGCAAACGGG
rnacentral:rRNA from 1 species